UUUACCUACGGGGCGCAGCAGUGGGGGAUAUUGGACAAUGGGGGGAACCCUGAUCCAGCGACGCCGCGUGAGUGAAGAAGUAUUUCGGUAUGUAAAGCUCUGUCAGCAGGGAAGAAAGCAAUGACGGUACCUGACCAAGAAGCCCCGGCUAACUACGUGCCAGCAGCCGCGGUAAUACGUAGGGGGCAAGCGUUAUCCGGAUUUAUUGGGUUUAAAGGGUGCGUAGGCGGUCUGUUAAGUCAGCGGUAAAAUUGCGGGGCUCAACCCCGUCGAGCCGUUGAAACUGGCAGACUUGAGUUGGCGAG
rnacentral:rRNA from 1 species